GUCUCCUCUCAGCUAGGACUUUCUGUUUGCACAGCCGAAGCCUGCAGGGUGCAUUCCAGAGGUGGACUUGGGGCUGGCCUUGAACUUCCAGACCCUCUCUCCCCUCUCCGGCCGGGGCUGGGGAAAUGUCAGCUAUUCUGAGGGCCUUGGAAGCUGGACUCAGUUAUUUUCGGCUUAUCCAAAUCCCUUGGGCUCAUUGAAGGUUAUGGUGGGCGGGGUAAAGGGGGCCUUCCGGCUACUCUUUCCCCUGCUGAAGAAGAAAAGGCUAAAGGACCCCAUGAGAAAUAUGGCUACAAUUCCUACCUCAGUGAAAAAAUUUCACUGGACCGUUCCAUUCCGGAUUAUCGUCCCACCAAGUGUAAGGAGCUCAAGUACUCCAAGGACCUGCCCCAGAUAUCCAUCAUAUUCAUCUUCGUGAACGAGGCCCUGUCGGUGAUCCUGCGGUCAGUGCACAGUGCCGUCAAUCACACGCCCACACACCUGCUGAAGGAAAUCAUUCUGGUGGAUGACAACAGUGACGAAGAGGAGCUGAAGGUCCCCCUGGAGGAGUAUGUCCACAAACGCUACCCCGGGCUGGUGAAGGUGGUGAGAAAUCAGAAGAGGGAAGGCCUGAUCCGCGCUCGCAUUGAAGGCUGGAAGGUGGCUACUGGGCAGGUCACCGGCUUCUUUGAUGCCCACGUGGAAUUCACAGCUGGCUGGGCUGAGCCGGUUCUAUCCCGCAUCCAGGAAAACCGGAAGCGUGUGAUCCUCCCCUCCAUUGACAACAUCAAACAGGACAACUUUGAGGUGCAGCGGUACGAGAACUCGGCCCACGGGUACAGCUGGGAGCUGUGGUGCAUGUACAUCAGCCCCCCAAAAGACUGGUGGGACGCCGGAGACCCUUCUCUCCCCAUCAGGACCCCAGCCAUGAUAGGCUGCUCGUUCGUGGUCAACAGGAAGUUCUUCGGUGAAAUCGGUCUUCUGGAUCCUGGCAUGGAUGUGUACGGAGGAGAAAAUAUUGAACUGGGAAUCAAGGUAUGGCUCUGUGGGGGCAGCAUGGAGGUCCUUCCUUGCUCACGGGUGGCCCACAUUGAGCGGAAGAAGAAGCCAUAUAAUAGCAACAUUGGCUUCUACACCAAGAGGAAUGCUCUUCGCGUUGCUGAGGUCUGGAUGGAUGAUUACAAGUCUCAUGUGUACAUAGCGUGGAACCUGCCGCUGGAGAAUCCGGGAAUUGACAUUGGUGAUGUCUCCGAAAGAAGAGCAUUAAGGAAAAGUUUAAAGUGUAAGAAUUUCCAGUGGUACCUGGACCAUGUUUACCCAGAAAUGAGAAGAUACAAUAAUACCGUUGCUUACGGGGAGCUUCGCAACAACAAGGCAAAAGACGUCUGCUUGGACCAGGGACCGCUGGAGAACCACACAGCAAUAUUGUAUCCGUGCCAUGGCUGGGGACCACAGCUUGCCCGCUACACUAAGGAAGGCUUCCUGCACUUGGGUGCCCUGGGGACCACCACGCUCCUCCCUGACACCCGCUGCCUGGUGGACAACUCCAAGAGUCGGCUGCCUCAGCUCCUGGACUGCGACAAGGUCAAGAGCAGCCUGUACAAGCGCUGGAACUUCAUCCAGAACGGAGCUAUCAUGAACAAGGGCACGGGACGCUGCCUGGAGGUGGAGAACCGGGGCCUGGCUGGCAUCGACCUCAUCCUCCGCAGCUGCACAGGUCAGAGGUGGACCAUUAAGAACUCCAUCAAGUAGAGGGAGGGAGCUGGGGCACUGGAGCCCGGCCCCCAGGACAUGGCUGCUCCCUCCAACAUCUGGACCAGCCACCCUGGCGGACAGACAGCAAGGGGCCGGCAGGUGCUUGAUGGGCCCCCCAGGGCUUCUCCAGGGCAGCACAGGGACCCUGGAUGAAGACUCUGUCCCCCCUCAGGCAUUCAGCUGCCCACAAGUUUCCUGCACCCUGGAAAAGCCCCCCACCCUUUCUCUGGGAAACCGAGAGCUGUCUUCUGCAGCCUCUGAUGUGGACCUGGUACUGAGGAGCAAGACUGUCCAGUUCUCCUCCACAUCUCCCAUCCCAGAAUCAGGAUCUGGGACUGGCAGGGUCCCCUCCUGUGUCUCAUCUCUUGCAGCAGCAGCUGCUGAACUCCAGCCAUCAACACAGUGGAGGCAGCGGGGGCUUCAGCCAUGUCCUAGCUCCCCGCCCUAAAAGGAGGCAGUGAGGACCAGGCACUAUUUCCUCCGAGGUUACUUCUGCCCAGAUGACACCUGCCUGUUCAUUCCCCAAGGCAGCCACUGCCCCUAACCCUUCCCACCAGGGUAGCUUUGGGCAUUGCAGCUCUGGACUUUCCUGGCCCCUCCUGAGAUGACCUGAUGGAGCUGAUGCUUUCUCUCCUAAUCACCUGGGCACUAGGCUCUUAUCAGUGUGCUUGGGCCAGCUCUCCUGCCUGUGUCUAGAGGAAGCCAGAGACAGAAAUAGGCUAAGCCUGCAGUAGGUUCUCAGCUGCGAGGGCCCCGCAGGAUGGAGCUGGGUCAAGGACCAGGGAGCCCUGACUCCCGGAGGCUGCCACCGGGGAGAAGCAGCGGUCCUCCAUCCAGAACCUAAGGGCUGAAGCAAAGGCUGCCAGGACCCUUGAAGAUGCUUUUGGCUCACCUCAUUUCACCCCACGCUCUGCUGGCUGGCAGAGGAGAAGGCAGUCGUUUCCUCUCUGAAGAGUAUUAAUUUUUUUUCGAUUGCCCUCUGGUUAGGGUGCACAUAUAAAUCAGUGUUAAUAUAUGAACGCGUGUGCAUGCACGAGCGUGUGUGUGCCUGCGUGCUGUGCGUGGCAGGGUGUGUGUGUGUGUGUGUCUGGCUGUGCGUUCCGGAGUGUGUGACGAUGCUGACCUAGCUGUGUGGCCUUGGGCUUGCUGCUUCAUUACUCGCCUGGAUGGGGACGAGGGAUGAGAAGGGUGUGGGUUUGGCCCCAUGUCACUGGCCGGAAGGAUGUGUCUCAGCUCUGCCCUGUGGGGUGCCCCCGAUGGGAGGCUGUCCCAUCUCCCAGUCCCCAUCUCUUUUUCCCCACACUGUCCCUGGCCAAGCCCUGCCCAAAGCUGAACCCUGUAGCUGCCCCCUUGCCCUGUGUGGGAUUCGCAGUGUCUCAUUUGGUGACAUCUUACUGGUGAUCAUCUCCUCACCCCAUCUCCCACCUCGUGGAAUAAAUACAUGUUAGCACUUCCC
rnacentral:sRNA from 1 species